rnacentral:lncRNA from 1 species
AUGUCCCAUCAGCAAGAUUCUCCUGCUGCCCUGGAAGAAUCUUCUUGCCAUUUUGUGAUGGAUCUAUGGAUGAAAGCAGAGGACAAAGACAUGAGCAGAACCCCACAACCACAAGGAUCUGAAUUCUGUCAACAACCAAUGAGCUUGAAAGAGAAAUCUGAGCCUUAGAUGAGAUCACAGUUCUGGCUGACAAUGGCACCUUGAGUUUAGCUUGGCAAGACCAAGUAAAGGACCCAUCAAGCUGGUAGCAGACUGCUCACUGAGGGAAACUGUGAGUAAUUAAUUAAUUUGUAUUGUUUUAAGCUGGUAAAUUUGUGGUCAUUUGUUGCAUAGCAAUGAAAAAGAAAUUGAGAUACUAUGGUCUGAAUGUUGGUGUCUGUAUUAGUCUGUUUUCAACUACUAUAAGGAAAAACCUGAGACUGGGUAAUUUAUAAAGGAAAGAGGUUUAAUUGACACAAUUUCACGUAGCUGGGGAGGCCUCAGGAAGCUUUCAAUCAUGGUGGAAGAUGAAGGGGAAGCAAGGCACAUCUUACAUGGCAGCAGGAGAGAGAGAGAGAGGUGGGGGAGGACUGUCAAACACUUUAAAACCACCAGACCUCAUGAGGACACACUAUCAUGAGAACAGCGUGGGGGAAACUCUCCCAUGAUCCAAUCACUUCCCACCAGGUCCCUCCCCUGAAACAUGGGGAUUAUAAUUCGAGAUGAGAUGUGGGUGGGGACGUAGACCCAAAUCAUGUCAGUGUGUCAGUGUUUCCUCCAAAUUCAUAUAUUGGAACCUAAUACCCAGCAUGAUGGUAUUAAGAGGUGGGAGUAUUUGGGAAAUGAUUAAGUCAUGAAGGCUCCACUCUCAUGAAUGGAAUUCGUGCCCUUACAAAAGAGACUGGAGAGAGCCCCUUACCUCUAUCUCUCAUGUAAGGACACAGUGCUUACUCCCCUCUCUUCUACCAUGUGAGAUUGCAGCAAGAAGGCACAGUCUCUGAAGCAGAGAGCAAUCCCUCACCAGACACUGAAUCUUCCGAUGCCUUGGUCUUAGACUUUCC